rnacentral:rRNA from 1 species
AUUGAACGCUGGCGGAAUGCUUUACACAUGCAAGUCGAACGGUAGAGGGGGCAACCCCUUGAGAGUGGCGAACGGGUGAGUAAUAUAUCGGAACGUGCCCAGUCGUGGGGAUAACGUAGCGAAAGUUACGCUAAUACCGCAUACGAUCUAAGGAUGAAGGCGGGGGAUCGCAAGACCUCGCGCGAUUGGAGCGGCCGAUAUCAGAUUAGGUAGUUGGUGAGGUAAAGGCUCACCAAGCCAACGAUCUGUAGCUGGUCUGAGAGGACGACCAGCCACACUGGAACUGAGACACGGUCCAGACUCCUACGGGAGGCAGCAGUGGGGAAUUUUUGGACAAUGGACGCAAGUCUGAUCCAGCCAUUCCGCGUGCAGGAUGAAGGCCCUCGGGUUGUAAACUGCUUUUGUACGGAACGAAAAGGUUUCUAUUAAUACUAGGAGCUCAUGACGGUACCGUAAGAAUAAGCACCGGCUAACUACGUGCCAGCAGCCGCGGUAAA